UACGUAGGUGGCAAGCGUUGUCCGGAUUUAUUGGGUUUAAAGGGUGCGUAGGCGGCCUAUUAAGUCAGUGCUGAAAUAUCCCAGCUUAACUGGGAGGGUGGCAUUGAUACUGAUGGGCUUGAGUGCAGUCGAGGUAGGCGGAAUUGACGGUGUAGCGGUGAAAUGCUUAGAUAUCGUCAAGAACACCGAUAGUGUAGACAGCUUACUAGGCUGUAACUGACUCUGAGGCACGAAAGCGUGGGGAGCAAAACGG
rnacentral:rRNA from 1 species